rnacentral:rRNA from 1 species
CGUCGUCGCGUAGUCUACGAGAGUUAGUUAGUACUCUGGCUCAGGAUGAACGCUGGCGGCGUGCCUAACACAUGCAAGUCGAGCGAUUACCUCGGUAAAGAGCGGCGGACGGGUGAGUAACGCGUGGGUAACCUGCCUCAUACACAUGGAUAACAUACCGAAAGGUAUGCUAAUACAGGAUAAUAUAAGAGAUUCACAUGGAUUUCUUAUCAAAGCUCCGGCGGUAUGAGAUGGACCCGCGUCUGAUUAGCUAGUUGGUAAGGUAAUGGCUUACCAAGGCGACGAUCAGUAGCCGACCUGAGAGGGUGAUCGGCCACAUUGGAACUGAGACACGGUCCAAACUCCUACGGGAGGCAGCAGUGGGGAAUAUUGCACAAUGGGCGAAAGCCUGAUGCCAGCAACGCCGCGUGAGUGAUGAAGGCCUUCGGGUCGUAAAACUCUGUCCUCAAGGAAGAUAAUGACGGUACUUGAGGAGGAAGCCCCGGCUAACUACGUGCCAGCCGCAGC